rnacentral:lncRNA from 1 species
UGGCAUAUUCCUUUAUAGAUCCCACCAAUCAUAAUUUUAGAUGAAAAUAUCCUUUAAUAAAUUUCAAAAUAUCUAUUAAAUAACAAAAAAUUAAAAAAUAUUUGUGCUUAAUUGGAAAAAUUCCUUCCAUAUUUUGGAGAUAUGCUCCUCGUAAACUCCCGAUUCCCACUUUGCUCUUUCUUUGCUCUCUGUCUCACUUACACAUCUUUCCUGCCUCCGCCUAAUUUUCUAUUCCAUCCAUUGUUCCAUCUCCCCUCCACCAAUCCCAUCUCCCUCAUGCCUCCAACACCCCUACCUUCUCUCUUCGCCUCCAUGGCUUCUCUCUCCCCAGCCCCCCCUCUCUUUGGCCCAACCACCCAUGCACCAUCCCUAUUUCUAUAUCCCUUUCUCACCCCAAUUCUUACUGUCCUCUCUGGCCUAGCCCUCCAUCCCAACACCUUGACGCCCCUCUUCUUCUCCACUAUGCCGUGAGUGUUGGACCUUUCUUGAUUCUUUCCCUUUAGUCCUAGCCUUCAUCCCUCCAUAGACCUAUAAAAUCUUUUAAUUUUAGUAUUUUAUAUUUUUAUUAUUAUUUAAUUUGUAAAUUUGACUUCAAACUCAUGAACAUUACUUUUAUUUUCAAUGUAUGUAUAAAUUUCUUUUAUUUCUAUUAUAUUAUAGUUGGUGUACUUUUCUGAAUU